GGAGGUAUGGCUGAGUGGCUUAAGGCAUUGUUUUGCUAAAUCAACAUACAAGAAGAUUGUAUCAUGGGUUCAAAUCGCAUUUCCUCCG
rnacentral:tRNA from 1 species